rnacentral:misc_RNA from 1 species
GCCUAGAGUUGUAGGCUUUGCCUGCUAUCUCUUACCCAUGUCUUUUGAGUACUUACGUUUCCUCGGCGGGUCCGCCCGCCGAUUGGACAAUUUAAACCAUUUGCAGUUGCAAUCAGCGUCUGAAAAACUUUAAUAGUUA